rnacentral:rRNA from 1 species
GGGUUGUGAGGUUAAGCGACUAAGCGUACACGGUGGAUGCCCUGGCAGUCAGAGGCGAUGAAGGGCGUGCUAAUCUGCGAUAAGCGCCGGUAAGGUGAUAUGAACCGUUAUAACCGGCGAUACCCGAAUGGGGAAACCCAGUGUGACUCGUCACACUAUCAUUAACUGAAUCCAUAGGUUAAUGAGGCGAACCGGGGGAACUGAAACAUCUAAGUACCCCGAGGAAAAGAAAUCAACCGAGAUUCCCCCAGUAGCGGCGAGCGAACGGGGAGGAGCCCAGAGCCUGAAUCAGCAUGUGUGUUAGUGGAAGCGUCUGGAAAGGCGCGCGAUACAGGGUGACAGCCCCGUACACAAAAGCGCAUGUGCUGUGAGCUCGAUGAGUAGGGCGGGACACGUGGUAUCCUGUCUGAAUAUGGGGGGACCAUCCUCCAAGGCUAAAUACUCCUGACUGACCGAUAGUGAACCAGUACCGUGAGGGAAAGGCGAAAAGAACCCCGGCGAGGGGAGUGAAAAAGAACCUGAAACCGUGUACGUACAAGCAGUGGGAGCACAGGUUUACCUGUGUGACUGCGUACCUUUUGUAUAAUGGGUCAGCGACUUAUAUUCUGUAGCAAGGUUAACCGAAUAGGGGAGCCGGAGGGAAACCGAGUCUUAAUUGGGCGUUAAGUUGCAGGGUAUAGACCCGAAACCCGGUGAUCUAGCCAUGGGCAGGUUGAAGGUUGGGUAACACUAACUGGAGGACCGAACCGACUAAUGUUGAAAAAUUAGCGGAUGACCUGUGGCUGGGGGUGAAAGGCCAAUCAAACCGGGAGAUAGCUGGUUCUCCCCGAAAGCUAUUUAGGUAGCGCCUCGUGAAUUCAUCUCCGGGGGUAGAGCACUGUUUCGGCUAGGGGGCCAUCCCGGCUUACCAACCCGAUGCAAACUGCGAAUACCGGAGAAUGUUAUCACGGGAGACACACGGCGGGUGCUAACGUCCGUCGUGAAGAGGGAAACAACCCAGACCGCCAGCUAAGGUCCCAAAGUCAUGGUUAAGUGGGAAACGAUGUGGGAAGGCCCAGACAGCCAGGAUGUUGGCUUAGAAGCAGCCAUCAUUUAAAGAAAGCGUAAUAGCUCACUGGUCGAGUCGGCCUGCGCGGAAGAUGUAACGGGGCUAAACCAUGCACCGAAGCUGCGGCAGCGACGCUGAUGCGUUGUUGGGUAGGGGAGCGUUCUGUAAGCCUGUGAAGGUGUGUCGUGAGGCAUGCUGGAGGUAUCAGAAGUGCGAAUGCUGACAUAAGUAACGAUAAAGCGGGUGAAAAGCCCGCUCGCCGGAAGACCAAGGGUUCCUGUCCAACGUUAAUCGGGGCAGGGUGAGUCGACCCCUAAGGCGAGGCCGAAAGGCGUAGUCGAUGGGAAACGGGUUAAUAUUCCCGUACUUGGUGUUACUGCGAAGGGGGGACGGAGAAGGCUAUGUUGGCCGGGCGACGGUUGUCCCGGUUUAAGCGUGUAGGUGUGUGUUCCAGGUAAAUCCGGUUCACUUUAACACUGAGGCGUGACGACGAGGCACUACGGUGCUGAAGCAACAAAUGCCCUGCUUCCAGGAAAAGCCUCUAAGCAUCAGGUAACAUCAAAUCGUACCCCAAACCGACACAGGUGGUCAGGUAGAGAAUACCAAGGCGCUUGAGAGAACUCGGGUGAAGGAACUAGGCAAAAUGGUGCCGUAACUUCGGGAGAAGGCACGCUGACAUGUAGGUGAAGUGAUUUACUCACGGAGCUGAAGUCAGUCGAAGAUACCAGCUGGCUGCAACUGUUUAUUAAAAACACAGCACUGUGCAAACACGAAAGUGGACGUAUACGGUGUGACGCCUGCCCGGUGCCGGAAGGUUAAUUGAUGGGGUCAGCGCAAGCGAAGCUCCUGAUCGAAGCCCCGGUAAACGGCGGCCGUAACUAUAACGGUCCUAAGGUAGCGAAAUUCCUUGUCGGGUAAGUUCCGACCUGCACGAAUGGCGUAAUGAUGGCCAGGCUGUCUCCACCCGAGACUCAGUGAAAUUGAACUCGCUGUGAAGAUGCAGUGUACCCGCGGCAAGACGGAAAGACCCCGUGAACCUUUACUAUAGCUUGACACUGAACAUUGAGCCUUGAUGUGUAGGAUAGGUGGGAGGCUUUGAAGUGUGGACGCCAGUCUGCAUGGAGCCGACCUUGAAAUACCACCCUUUAAUGUUUGAUGUUCUAACGUGGACCCGUAAUCCGGGUUGCGGACAGUGUCUGGUGGGUAGUUUGACUGGGGCGGUCUCCUCCUAAAGAGUAACGGAGGAGCACGAAGGUUGGCUAAUCCUGGUCGGACAUCAGGAGGUUAGUGCAAUGGCAUAAGCCAGCUUGACUGCGAGCGUGACGGCGCGAGCAGGUGCGAAAGCAGGUCAUAGUGAUCCGGUGGUUCUGAAUGGAAGGGCCAUCGCUCAACGGAUAAAAGGUACUCCGGGGAUAACAGGCUGAUACCGCCCAAGAGUUCAUAUCGACGGCGGUGUUUGGCACCUCGAUGUCGGCUCAUCACAUCCUGGGGCUGAAGUAGGUCCCAAGGGUAUGGCUGUUCGCCAUUUAAAGUGGUACGCGAGCUGGGUUUAGAACGUCGUGAGACAGUUCGGUCCCUAUCUGCCGUGGGCGCUGGAGAACUGAGGGGGGCUGCUCCUAGUACGAGAGGACCGGAGUGGACGCAUCACUGGUGUUCGGGUUGUCAUGCCAAUGGCACUGCCCGGUAGCUAAAUGCGGAAGAGAUAAGUGCUGAAAGCAUCUAAGCACGAAACUUGCCC